UACGUAGGGUGCAAGCGUUGUCCGGAAUUAUUGGGCGUAAAGAGCUCGUAGGCGGUCUGUCGCGUCGGAUGUGAAAACCCGGGGCUUAACCCCGGGCCUGCAUUCGAUACGGGCAGACUCGAGUGUGGUAGGGGAGACUGGAACUCCUGGUGUAGCGGUGGAAUGCGCAGAUAUCAGGAGGAACACCGGUGGCGAAGGCGGUUCUCUGGGCAUUACCUGACGCUGAGGAGCGAAAGUGUGGGGAGCGAACAGG
rnacentral:rRNA from 1 species